rnacentral:rRNA from 1 species
CCUACGGGGGGCUGCAGUCGGGAAUUUUGGGCAAUGGGGGAAACCCUGACCCAGCAACGCCGCGUGAAGGAUGAAGUAUUUCGGUAUGUAAACUUCGAAAGAAUAGGAAGAAUUAAUGACGGUACUAUUUAUAAGGUCCGGCUAACUACGUGCCAGCAGCCGCGGUAUUACGUAGGGACAGAGCGUUGUUCGGAUUUACUGGGCGGAAAGGGCGCGUAGGCGGCAUGGUAAGUCACUUGUGAAAUCUCCGAGCUUAACUUGGAACGGGCAAGUGAUACUGCUGAGCUAGAGUGCGGCAGAGGCAAUCGGAAUUCUUGGUGUAGCGGUGAAAUGCGUAGAUAUCUAGAGGAACACCGAAGGUGAAGACGGGUUGCUGGGCUGACACUGACGCUGAGGCGCGAAAGCUAGGGGAGCAAACGGGAUUAGAUACCCUUGUAGUC